rnacentral:rRNA from 1 species
GACGAACGCUGGCGGCGUGCUUAACACAUGCAAGUCGAACGGAAAGGCCCUGCUUUUGUGGGGUGCUCGAGUGGCGAACGGGUGAGUAACACGUGAGUAACCUGCCCUUGACUUUGGGAUAACUUCAGGAAACUGGGGCUAAUACCGGAUAGGAGCUCCUGCUGCAUGGUGGGGGUUGGAAAGUUUCGCGGUUGGGGAUUGACCCGCGGCUUAUCAGCUUGUUGGUGGGGUAGUGGCUUACCAAGGCUUUGACGGGUAGCCGGCCUGAGGGGGUGACCGGCCACAUUGGGACUGAGAUACGGCCCAGACUCCUACGGGAGGCAGCAGUGAGGAAUAUUGCACAAUGGGCGGAAGCCUGAUGCAGCAACGCCGCGUGCGGGAUGACGGCCUUCGGGUUGUAAACCGCUUUCGCCUGUGACGAAGCGUGAGUGACGGUAAUGGGUAAAGAAGCACCGGCUAACUACGCG